AAAUAUGGCCACACCUGAAUGCGAGUGCCCAAUCCCAUCAGAUCUUGGAGGCUGAGCAGGGUCGUGCCUCAUCAGUACUUGGAUGGGAGACCACCUUGGAAGAGCAGUGGGUUGUGUCAG
rnacentral:rRNA from 12 species